AAUGAACGUUGGCGGCGUGGAUUAGGCAUGCAAGUCGUACGGUUCGGUGUAGCAAUACAACGGCAAGUGGCGAAAGGGAGAGUAACACGUAGAUACCUACCCUCUGGUCGGGGAUACCGCGGCAUAACCGCAAGUAAUACCCGAUAAAAUCUCCGGAUCAAAGGUGUGAUUCCGCCGGAGGAGGGGUCUGCGUUCUAUCAGCUUGUUGGUGAGGUAAUGGCUCACCAAGGCUAAGACGGAUACGGGGUGUGAGAGCAUGCCCCCGCUCACUGGGACUGAGACACUGCCCAGACACCUACGGGUGGCUGCAGUCGAGAAUCUUCGGCAAUGGGCGCAAGCCUGACCGAGCGACGCCGCGUGCGGGAUGAAGGCCUUCGGGUUGUAAACCGCUGUCGAGGGGAAUGAAGUGUAGGUGGGUACUCCCAUCUAUUUGACAGAUCCCUGGAGGAAGCAUGGGCUAAGUUCGUGCCAGCCGCCGCCGUAACAC
rnacentral:rRNA from 1 species